rnacentral:rRNA from 1 species
AGCAGCCGCGGUAAUUCCAGCUCCAAUAGCGUAUAUUAAAGUUGUUGCAGUUAAAAAGCUCGUAGUUGAAUUUCGAGACCGGCUUACUGGUCGUGCUAUUGUACGUACUGGUAUAAUCGGUUUCUCCUUUCUGACGAACUAUAAUGCCAUUAAUUUGGUGUUUUAGGGAAUCAGGACUGUUACUUUGAGAAAAUUAGAGUGUUUAAAGCAGGCUCACGCUUGAAUACAUUAGCAUGGAAUAACGGAAUAGGACGUUUGAUUCUAUUUUGUUGGUUUCUAGGAUCGACGUAAUGAUUAAUAGGGAUAGUUGGGGGCAUUAGUAUUCAAUUGUCAGAGGUGAAAUUCUUGGAUUUAUUGAAGACUAACUACUGCGAAAGCAUUUGCCAAGGAUGUUUUCAUUAAUCAAGAACGAAAGUUAGGGGAUCGAAGACGAUCAGAUACCGUCGUAGUCUUAACCAUAAACUAUGCCGACUAGGGAUCGGAUGAUGUUAAUUUUUAAUGUACUCAUUCGGCGCCUUAC